UCAAAAGCUGUAAUUUUUUAUGAGACAAAGUUUCCUUAUCUCAACAUGGUCUCAUCCAUUAGUCAAACUAAUACACCAGGCCCUUCCAAAUCUAUUCCUCUUUCCAUUACUAUAACCAUUAGGCCUGCUCAACAUGUCACUCCCAGCAAUGAUAACACACUACCCAAUGAAGGCAGUUCUGCACAGCCUACAAUGCUUAAUUCUAC
rnacentral:lncRNA from 1 species